UUAUCCGGAUUUAUUGGGUUUAAAGGGAGCGUAGAUGGAUGUUUAAGUCAGUUGUGAAAGUUUGCGGCUCAACCGUAAAAUUGCAGUUGAUACUGGAUGUCUUGAGUGCAGUUGAGGCAGGCGGAAUUCGUGGUGUAGCGGUGAAAUGCUUAGAUAUCACGAAGAACUCCGAUUGCGAAGGCAGCCUGCUAAGCUGCAACCGACAUUGAGGCUCGAAAGUGUGGGUAUCAAACAGGAUUAGAUACCCUGGUAGUCCACACGGUAAACGAUGAAUACUCGCUGUUUGCGAUAUACGGCAAGCGGCCAAGCGAAAGCGUUAAGUAUUCCACCUGGGGAGUACGCCGGCAACGGUGAAACUCAAAGGAAUUGACGGGGGCCCGCACAAGCGGAGGAACAUGUGGUUUAA
rnacentral:rRNA from 1 species